CAGAGCAAGACCCUAUCUCAAAAAAAAAAAAAAAAAAAAAAAAAAAAGGACUGUUCUGGUCUACAUAGUGAGACCCUGUCUCAAAAAACAAAAUCAAAAUGUGCUCAUACUACUAUUCUGUUUUUCACUUUCAGUACAGUAUUCAAUCAGAUACGAGAUUCAAUCAGAUACGAAAUAUGUAACCUUUUACUGUAAGAUAGGCUUCAUAUCAGAUGAUUUUGCCCAACUGCAGGCCGAUGUAUUCUAAAAACACGUUUAAGGUACGCUAGAAUAACAUAUAGUGGACUUAACAAAAGUUUCAGUUUAGUUUCAGUUUACAGUGGGUUAACCCAGAUGUGACUCCAUCACGCUAAGUCCAGGCGCAUCUGUAAUUGGAAACUGGAACCCACCUGUCUGCACAGGGUGACUUCGUCGGGGCAAGAAACAGAAGCGCCGGGACGUACAGGUCACAGGUUUAUCUCUUAGCCAAACAGAACUUCCGGCUUCUGCAUCCUGCUUCGCCUCCUCCAGGAGGCCACAGACGUUUUCAGCUGCCAAUUCUUUGUCAGGGCGACGGAGCACCCUCUCUUCCUCCGCAGCUCUCGGGUCUUGGACAGGGCGCUCUGCGCGGCCCCAGCACACUUAAAUCCCGGGACGCAGCGGCUCUCGCGACUGCUGCGCUCGGACUUGAGCAGCCAAUGGGGGGCGCCGGCGCGGGAGGAGGGACCCAGCACGGCUAUAAAAGAGCAGCGCCGCUGUCCCGGCCGCAGUGCUGAAGCCGGCGCCCCGCUGCCGCCCGGAGUCCGCGGCUCUGAACUCGCUGCACACCGGAGAACUCAGAGAAGAGGGCAAGGAGCUCGUCCCCCCGCCUCGCCUCCGCCAGCCCGGCCGUCGAGGAUGCGGCUGCUCGGGAAGCUGCGCCCC
rnacentral:lncRNA from 1 species